GCAGCAGCCGCAGGGGGGUGUCGGGUGUGUGCGAGG
rnacentral:SRP_RNA from 18 species